CUUACUUAAGUAAGGGGCUAACGCAGGGAACUGAAACAUCUUAGUACCUGCAGGAAAAGAAAAUAACAAUGAUUCCCCCAGUAGUGGCGAGCGAACGGGGAAUAGCCCAAACCGUCCGUGUUACGGCACAGACGGGGUUGUAGGACCACGACGUUGCAAGAAGUUUAGUGAGAAGAACGAUCUGGAAAGUUCGACCACAGACGGUGACAGUCCUGUAUUCGAAGCUAAACGAAGCAUAGUGUAAUCCUGAGUAGCGCGGGACACGAGGAAUC
rnacentral:rRNA from 1 species